GGUUGAAGAGAGGGAGGUUGAAGAGAGGGAGGUUGAAGGGAGGGAGGUUGAAGGGAGGGAGGUUGAAGGGAGGGAGGUUGGAGAGAGGGAGGUUGAAGGGAGGGAGGUUGAAGAGAGGGAGGUUGAAGGGAGGGGAGUUGAAGGGAGGGGAGUUGAAGGGAGGGAGGUUGAAGAGAGGGAGGUUGAAGAGAGGGAGGUUGGAGAGAGGGAGGUUGAAGGGAGGGAGGUUGAAGAGAGGGAGGUUGAAGAGAGGGAGGUUGGAGAGAGGGAGGUUGAAGAGAGGGAGGUUGAAGAGAGGGAGGUUGAAGGGAGGUAAGUUGAAGAGAGGGAGGUUGAAGGGAGGGAGGUUGAAGGGAGGGAGGUUGAAGAGAGGGAGGUUGAAGGGAGGGAGGUUGAAGGGAGGGAGGUUGAAGGGAGGGAGGUUGAAGAGAGGGAGGUUGAAGAGAGGGAGGCUGAAGAGAGGGAGGUUGGAGGGAGGGAGGUUGAAGAGAGGGAGGUUGAAGAGAGGGAGGUUGAAGAGAGGGAGGUUGAAGAGAGGGAGGUUGAAGGGAGGGAAGUUGAAGGGAGGGAGGUUGAAGGGAGGGAGGGAGGUUGAAGGGAGGGAGGGAGGUUGAAGGGAGGGAGGGAGGUUGAAGAGAGGGAGGUUGGAGAGAGGGAGGUUGUAGAGAGGGAGGUUGAAGAGAGGGAGGUUGAAGAGAGGGAGGUUGGUGGAAGGAGGGUGGAGGGAGGUUGGCUGUACUGUAUGUCUGUGAUUUUUGACAGUUAUCAGUUGUGUUCUAAGUGUACACGGACACACAUGCGCGACAGUUCUGUUAAGGGUAGACAGCGCACAGACACACACAAGCGACAGUUCCGUUAAGGGUAGACAGCGC